rnacentral:rRNA from 1 species
ACAGGCUAUCCCGAGUGCUGUCCGCUGAGGAUGGCUUUUACCCAGUUUAGCAAGCUGGGAGAAUAAGGAGAGGGCAAGUCUGGUGUCAGCCGCCGCGGUAAUACCAGCUCUCCGAGUGGUGUGGAUGUUUAUUGGGCCUGAAGCAUCCGUAGCUGGCCAAGUUAGUCCCCUGUUAAAUCCACCGAAUUAAUCGUUGGUUCGCGGGGGAUACUGCUCGGCUAGGGGACGAGAGAGGCAGACGGUACUUCCGGGGUAGGGGUGAAAUCCUAUAAUCCCGGGAAGACCACCAGUGGCGAAGGCUGUCUGCUAGAACGCGCCCGACGGUGAGGGAUGAAAGCUGGGGGAGCGAACCGGAUUAGAUACCCGGGUAGUCCCAGCUGUAAACUAUGCAGGCUAGGUGUUUGGGCGGCCACGCGCCGCUCUAGUGCCGCAGGGAAGCCGUUAAGCCUGCCGCCUGGGGAGUACGGCCGCAAGGCUGAAACUUAAAGGAAUUGGCGGGGGAGCACCACAAGGGGUGAAGCUUGCGGUUUAAUUGGAGUCAACGCCGGAAAUCUCACCGGGGGCGACAGCAG